rnacentral:rRNA from 1 species
UUGGAGGGCAAGUCUGGUGCCAGCAGCCGCGGUAAUUCCAGCUCCAAUAGCGUAUAUUAAAGUUGUUGCAGUUAAAAAGCUCGUAGUUGAAUUUCGGGAUCGAAUUGUUGGUCGUGCCUCGGUACGCACUGGCAUUAUCGGUUCCUACCUUCUGAAGAACCGCGAUGUCAUUAAUUUGGUGUCGUGGGGAAUCAGGACUGUUACUUUGAAAAAAUUAGAGUGUUUAAAGCAGGCUUACGCUUGAAUACAUUAGCAUGGAAUAAUGAAAUAGGACGUUUGAUUCUAUUUUGUUGGUUUCUAGGAUCGACGUAAUGAUUAAUAGGGAUAGUUGGGGGCAUUAGUAUUCAAUUGUCAGAGGUGAAAUUCUUGGAUUUAUUGAAGACUAACUACUGCGAAAGCAUUUGCCAAGGAUGUUUUCAUUAAUCAAGAACGAAAGUUAGGGGAUCGAAGACGAUCAGAUACCGUCGUAGUCUUAACCAUAAACUAUGCCGACUAGGGAUCGGAUGAUGUUAAUUUUUUAAUGACUCAUUCGGCGCCUUACGGGAAAC